rnacentral:rRNA from 1 species
AUCUACCGCCAUGCCACCCUGAACAAGCCCCAUCCCAUCCGAUCUUGGAAGUUAAGCAGGGCCGGACUUGGUUAGUACUUGGAUAGGAGACCACCUUAGGAAGACCGGGUGCUGUAGGCC